AAUGGGGGCAACCCUGAUCUAGCCAUGCCGCGUGAGUGAAGAAGGCCUUAGGGUCGUAAAGCUCUUUCAGCUGGGAAGAUAAUGACGGUACCAGCAGAAGAAGCCCCGGCUAACUCCGUGCCAGCAGCCGCGGUAAUACGGAGGGGGCUAGCGUUGUUCGGAAUUACUGGGCGCAAAGCGCGCGUAGGCGGGCUGUUAAGUCGGGGGUGAAAUCCCGGGGCUCAACCCCGGAACUGCCUCCGAUACUGGCAGCCUAGAGAUCGAGAGAGGUGAGUGGAAUUCCGAGUGUAGAGGUGAAAUUCGUAGAUAUUCGGAGGAACACCAGUGGCGAAGGCGGCUCACUGGCUCGAUACUGACGCUGAGGCGCGAAAGCGUGGGGAGCAAACAGGAUU
rnacentral:rRNA from 1 species